CUCCAACGGUCAAGAACAGACGAUCUGGUUGGAGCCGGAAUGGCUUCUUUCAGUUCUGUAAAUUCCAUCUAAUUACAAUUACUUCUCCGAUUUGAACGGUUUAUUACUGUUUUACGCUUUUGCUUGUUUCAGAGGCCCUGCAGGUUUUGGUUUUGCAGCUCGCAGAUGAAUCUCAUAUGAUCAGGCAAGCUCCAUGGCUGCACUUAUAGAGGCAUCGUUGCCAUGUCCCAUUCUUUCCUCAUUUUCUCUCUGUUUAUAUCUAUAUACGUCGUAUGAUUCGUGGAUCUAAUGUUUUCCCGAUUGCAGAAACCCUAUUUUGGUACUUGAAUGUUGCUCUACUUAUCUCGAGGAGGUCAUCGGGCUUUUGAUUUGAAAAUGUUUGAGUCAUUUGGGAAUACGUUGGGGUAUUCCAAAUAAAAGAGAGACGUCGAUCCACCAUUCAUGGCAAAUCUGGCCAAGAUCGCCACCGCAGAGAUGAUCUCGUCCAAGAUUUUUUGAGAACCCAACAUGACCUUAUGGUUUUAUUAGUACUUGGAAUCGUGUAACUUACUGUAAGUCUGCAACAGCAGGGACAAGCCUUUCAAGAACUCAAUGCAGACUAGCAAAGGGCUGCAUCAGGUACUUGUUUGCAUUGGCUCUUAUUUGCCUGAACUAAUGACGGUGUUUGGGUCGUAUGAAAGUUUUCUCCAUAAACGAAAGUGUCUCAUGUUCUCUAAAAUCUAAUGAAGCCUUGCACUUCACAACUAAAAGUAGGUAUAUAAUGAGGUUUAACGUUGCUUCUUGAUUGACGGCUUGGUAUACCCUUAAGAUCUAUUUAUGUCCCUUUUGAACGUGUAUUAAUUUUUUGCUUGUACUAUUAAAAAAAUAAGUUAUUGUAAACUUUCAUCAACUCCCCUCAACUUUACACCCUCAUUAUUCAACAUGUAACCAAGAAAACAAAAUUAUCAAAUUGACAUAUAUGCUUCUUUUUUUAAUCA